AUUGAACGCUGGCGGCAUGCUUUACACAUGCAAGUCGAACGGUAACAGGCCUUCGGGUGCUGACGAGUGGCGAACGGGUGAGUAAUGCAUCGGAACGUGCCCAGUCGUGGGGGAUAACGCAGCGAAAGCUGUGCUAAUACCGCAUACGAUCUGCGGAUGAAAGCGGGGGACCUUCGGGCCUCGCGCGAUUGGAGCGGCCGAUGUCAGAUUAGGUAGUUGGUGGGGUAAAGGCUCACCAAGCCAACGAUCUGUAGCUGGUCUGAGAGGACGACCAGCCACACUGGGACUGAGACACGGCCCAGACUCCUACGGGAGGCAGCAGUGGGGAACUUUGGACAAUGGGCGCAAGCCUGAUCCAGCAAUGCCGCGUGCAGGAAGAAGGCCUUCGGGUUGUAAACUGCUUUUGUACGGAGCGAAAAGGCUCCCUCUAAUACAGGGGGCUCAUGACGGUACCGUAAGAAUAAGCACCGGCUAACUACGUGCCAGCCGCCGCGGUAAUAC
rnacentral:rRNA from 1 species